UAAUCCCUCAUAAUCCAAUUCCCUCCCUUCGAAAUUUCAGAAUCCAUAUACGGCGCCCAUACCCUUCCCUCACAAACCCGAUUCUCUCACAAGCCCUAAUCCCGCACACCGGAGGUAAGCCAUUGCCGCCUGCACAUCGGAGCCUCUGCCGCUUUUUCAGCUGCCUUCUGCACGCCGGUGCUGCCGCUACGCUGCCCUUCAGCCGCCUCUGAACCCACGACAGAUAGAAGCAAUUUUACAAGAUGUUACUGGGCAAGGUUGCAUCUCUAAUAUUGAUGCCCUGAAUAUAAGGUUGGACAGUCAGAUUCUUUUCAUUUCUUCUGGUAAUUUGCCACUGAUGUCUGGUCAAUUGUGGUCACUUCUCAUUCAUAAAGAAGGUGGGGAUAUGUAAACAGUGGCAAUAUGGCAAAUGAUCCGAAUUGCAUAAUGCAUAGGCUUCUAAUUGCUCAAUCUGCUAGAUUCUUGUGAUUCGUUGCCCUUGGUGUUGGGGACUUGGUAUUAGAUCGUUCCUUGAUCUUCGAAGUUGGUUCCGCAAUUAUGAGGUUUCAUCAUGUGAGGUUUGCAAUGAAGCUGGGGUGAAGGGAAACAUAUCUUCGUUGGAGAUUUUUGGUACUCAAUGACGAAGUUGGUGAUAGCUACAAGCAUUUUGGAUGCGCGAUGUUUUGGGUUAUGAAGUAGCUAUAUGUGCACUUGUAUAUUUUUGGACUUUUUCAAAGUGUCUAUCACUUGUAAAUUUUUGCAUAAAAACUUGUGUAUGGUUGGAGAAUUAUGUUGGAAAAUUGGUUAUCCGAUCCGUUACAUGUAUAUGAAUUAUGUAUAUUUUUGACACACGAU